AAAUUUGUUAAAUUUAAACUUGUUUAUUUAUUUUAAGCUACAUAACAGAUCUCUUAAAACGAGGCGUGCAGAAAGAUUUAAAAGAAGAGGACCUCUAUGAAGUUUCAAAAAAUUGUGCAUCCAAACAUUGUGCCGAACAAAUUGAAAAGAAAUGGAAAAAGGGAAAAAAAGAUGGAAAAUAUCCUUCUCUCUUUCUAACCUUGUGUAAAGUUUUUGGAUGGAAGUAUUUUCUUUGGGGAAUAACUCAAUUGUUUUGUGAAUUAUUCAGAAGCAUUUUUGAACCCAACGCCAUCACAAACUUGGUUUCCUACUUUCAACCAGGACAAACAAAACUAUCCAAAUCCGACGCUUAUUUCAACGCUGCCAUCUUACUAUUCUCCAACUUUUUGCAGAAAAUAUACUUCUUCAACUACGAUCUCUUCCUGUUUAUAAUGGGUAUACAAGUCAGAACAGCUUUGUGUUCGCUUUUGUUCAGAAAAGUCCUCAAGCUCAGCCCUGCGGCCAUGACCAAAGCAAGUUUGGGAAAUAUUGUGACGUUGAUAACCAAAGAUGUCCAGCAAAUCAGAAGAUCUAUGUUUGCUUUUAAUGAUAUCUGGGUAUUUACUGUAGUUAUUAGUGUCACAUGUUAUUUACUAUAUGCUCGGCUUGGUGUACUCACGUUUUUUGCAGUGGGUAUGCACUUUUGCAUUAUUCCCAUAGAAUUUUUUCUUGGUAAAAUGGUGACUAAAAUGCGCAACGAAACAAGUGAGAUGACCGACGAAAGAAUACAAGUUAGUCAGGAAGUACUAUCUGCAACAAAAAUCAUUAAAAUGUAUACUUGGGAAGAUUACUUUUACCAAAAAAUUAACUUGGCUAGAACGAGAGAAGUAGCAAAAAUGGUUAUAGUUUUCUAUCUGCGUAUGAUACUAAUGCUAUUGGGUGCUAUCUCAACCAAAAUCGGCUUCUACUUAAUGAUUAUGGGUUAUAUUUGGAUGGAACAACCGCCAGAUGCCUCUAUAAUCUUCUUCAUAACUGCCCAUUAUGACAACAUCGUAAUAUUUUUUGGAUAUCUUCUUCCAGAAGCUGUAGGAAGAUUUGCAGAAUUGUCUGUCACAAUUAAAAGAGUCAAUAGAGUACUGAUAGCCGAAGAACUAGAUCAAGACCAUCAAAGUAAACAAAACAAUGUUAAGCCAUAUGUAGAGUUAAAAAACAUUACAGUUUGUGUAGGAAAAGAAGAAGUAUUGUCAAAAAUCAGUUUUAAGGUUGAUUCUGGACUAACGUUGGUUACCGGUAAAGUAGGAUCUAGUAAAAGUACCCUACUAAAAGCAAUAUUACAAGAGUACCCUUUAAGUAGUGGUGAAGUUGUUUGUAGCGGAACUGUAUCAUAUGCCUCCCAACAUCCAUGGUGUUUUCCAAGUACUAUCAAGCAAAAUAUUUUAUUUGGUGAGAAGUACAAUGAAAAGAGGUACCAAGAAGUAUUAAAAGUUUGCGCACUAGAAUAUGACUUAAACUUAUUUGAAAAGGGAGACGAAACGAUCCUGACAGAUAAUGGCCAAAACUUAAGCAAAGGCCAACAAGCCAGAGUCAAUCUGUCUAGAGCAAUAUACAGACAAGCUGACAUUUACCUCUUGGAUGACUGUCUUUCAGCUUUAGAUGCACACGUUCAUAAGUUCAUCUUCAAAAAGUGCAUUAAAGAGUUUUUAAAGGAAAAGAUAUGCAUUUUAGUUACCCAAUCUAAAUCUACGCUAACACAAGCAGAUGCUGUUUAUGUACUGGAUAAAGGACACAUUAUAGGGAGCUAUAACCCUCAGGAAAACACUGAAAAGGAAGUAAAUAAUUUCGCAGAUACCAUAUAUAAAACGAAAGAAUUUUUAAUCAAAGAAAAUGGAUUAAUGGAGUCUAUGGAGGUUGACAGAUUUCUGGAAACCGAGCAAAGUAACUAUAAAAAUAUAUAUGAAGAAGAAAUGAAGAAAGGUGCCGUAGAUAAAUCUGUCUAUAUUAAAUAUAUAUCUUAUGGGGGAGGAGCUGCCCUGUUUACAUUUGCUUUGUUGCUAAUUGGUUCAAAGCAAGCUGCUGAAAGUUACUCCGAAAAGUUGAUAUCUGUGUGGAGCGAUGAUAAACAGAAAGUUCUUAACAUAAAAGCCAACAUAUCUAACAUUAUUGGCCAAAAUAUAACCCAACUAUCUACAAACCUAACACAAGCUGAAGUUCAAGCUGCUUCUACAUUCCAAAUGUAUACCGUGAUGGUAAUACUCUCCUUAGUUCUAGAACUACUCAAAACCUUCGCUUUUCUAGACUUUUGCAAAAGGGCAUCGAUAAAUAUACAUAAAGCGAUGAUAAAGAAUGUACUACAUUCAGUGAUGGCUUUCUUCGAUACACACUUUAUUGGUAAUAUAUUAAACAGGUUUUCCCAGGAUGUGAUUAAUGUUGAUGAGAAUUUACCCUUUCAGUUGUUAAAUUGUCUAGAGGUAGCAAUCAAUGUUGGUGCAGCUGCUACUUUACUUAUGACAGUAAAUCCAUAUUUUUUCUUUUAUAUAUCAGUAACGUUUGGAGUAAUGUUAUUAUUUUUAAAGCUAUAUCUUCCAAUAACCAGAAAUUUGCGAAGACUUGAAGCUUCAACAAGAAGUCCAAUGAUAGGUCAUUUAAAUGCUGCUCUGGAAGGUGUUACCACUGUUAGAGCCUAUAAAGCAGAAAAUAUGAUCAUCGAUGAGUACGAGAGGCAUCAAGACGUUUUCACUUCGGCCCACUACAGUCUACUGUGUUUCAAGUUCGGAAUGGGAUUCUACAUGAGCAUGUUGGCUGGUGUUAUGGUGACGCUGGUCAUUUGUAGUUUCGUUCUUUUUGAAACAGAUGCCACAGCUGGAAGCAUUGGUUUAGCCUUGACCCAAGUGAUAUAUUUAGGUGCUCUAAUACAAGGAGCAGUGAGAUGUUGGGCUGAUUUGGAAACUUUAAUGACAGCUACUGAACGAGCCCUGGAAUAUACCGGAUUAAAGUCUGAAACAACACAAGGCAGCGUACCAAAACAUUGGCCUAAAGACGGAACCAUAAGUUUCCAAAAUGUUAGUUUAUCUUAUAAUUCUACUCAAAGAAUUUUGAACAAUUUGAGUUUUCAAGUUCAGGCGAAAGAAAAAAUUGGAAUAGUAGGCCGAACAGGGGCUGGGAAGUCCUCCAUAAUAUCCACAAUAUUUAGACUCUAUGAAGUAGACGGUAAAAUAACCAUCGAUGGAGUUGAUAUAAAGCUACUACCCUUAAAACAUUUACGAAAACAUCUAGCAAUUAUCCCGCAAGAUCCUAUUCUCUUUUCUGGUACUAUUCGAUCUAAUUUAGAUCCAUUUGAUAUUCUUGGGACUUAAUCAAAAGAGCAUAUCAGCAUGGACUUUCUGAAGAUGAUUUAUAUGAGGUUGUGAAAAAUUGUCGAUCAAAAAAUCUCGGAAAAAAGUUAGAGAAGGAGUAUGUUAAACAGCAACAAAAAAAGAACCCGAAAUCGGUGUUUUUAAUUUUGUGGCAAAUGUUCGGAUUAAAAUAUUUUCUAGUUGGAUGCUUUGAUCUUUGUUUUCGAAUAGCCAAAAGUACUUUUGAACCAGAUGCUCUUUCCAGUCUAAUAUCUUACUUUAGCGAAGGACAAACCAAAAUAACCAGGAAUGAUGCGUACUAUUACCUGGCCAUCGUCCUAUUUUUUAACUAUAUGAUAACACUAAUAUACGACAAUAUGCUCGUAUAUUUCUCAAUUAUAGGAAUCCAAAUACGAACAGCAUUUUCGUCAUUUCUCUACAGAAAAGCUCUAAAACUUUCACCGACUGCUUUGACCGAGAUAUCUGUUGGAAAUAUAGUGACGUUAAUAACAAAAGAUGUGCAGACAUUUGAAAGGGGAAUGUGGACUCUCAACACCGUGGUGGUUGGGAUAGCUCACUGUUCAGUAGUGACAUAUCUGCUGUAUCGCAGAAUUGGUAUAACAACGUU
rnacentral:misc_RNA from 1 species